CCGCCAAACCAAUAGAACAAGGGUUAGCUCUGCAGCUGGUCCACAGUAAGUAGGUCCAUUACCGGCCGGCUCCUAAGCUAGAAAAGACCUAACGGAGUAAUCCCUUAUCUCGGAUCGGAGAUGCUAACGGGGCAGGAAUCGAAGUGGGGGACCUCUCUACCGCCUGUGUCUAUCUCCUGUCAAGUAUGCUCCCCAGACAUAGACUACGUACAGGGUAGUACUCUUGGAUAUAAGAUCACCGCGUGAACAUAACAUUAAGUUACGAAUGUAACUCCCGAGGGAUCGACCACUAUUCUAACUAAAUAAAGUCAGGCGGAGAACUGUUGUUCAUUGGAGCGCCGGAGUGCGGAGGUUGUUCCCAUCAUUGAAGUCAGAGUGUGGGACUGAGCCUUCCGAAUGAUAAAGAAAAAAAAGUGCUUAGUUUCGUUGGAAAAACCAACGCAAAUAUCAUAUUGACUUUAUCUCGCCCAACUUCUAAGGAUAGAUAGAAAAGGUUGGAGAGAGUGACUUUCUGAACUGAAAUUCUCUCCUUUCUAAAGCUGCGCAAGGCGGCCCCACCCCCAGAACAAAGCCCCACCCCUCUUUUCCCCCCUUUAAUGAAAGACCCUCGCCCGCCCCGCUUCCUAUUCAUUUUUUGGUCGGGACCGAGGGCCUUUUUUUUUUUAUCAAGAGGUGAUUUCGAGAAUCAACCGGCAAAUCCGUAGCCCAGGUGACUCACAGCCUCCCUCUCGCCCAAAUUAAAUGGGAUGAAUCAAAUAAAAAAAAAGAAGCUUUUUGAUUGAUUCAGGGCGCAGCGAAAGAAAAUUCUUUCAAGGCAAAAGGGGGGGCUUACUUACUUGACUUUUCCUGACGCUGAGUCAUCCUAUUCUUAGCUAUGCUAAUCGAAGAGGAAAAGUUUUCAGAUGAUAUGGACCCCCAAGAGAUGGACGAGAACCUCCAAUUGCUUAGGGGUCGCACUCUAAAAAAACCCGCUUGGUGGACGAAAUCUUCUCUCCUUUUAGACUUCUUUCUCCCACACACCUUUGCCCUCUUUCACCGAAGAGGAAAGAAGAAUCUUCCAAGCGGACAGAGACCUAAAUUUCCAUUAGAUUCAUUCCUAAGCUUGCUUUGUUGCAGUAAGAUGAUCAGUCCGAGAGUGCUGGAGAGAAGAGAAAGCGGUAAAAACCCCUCUGAUUCGGUCACCGAGCAGUCGGACGACUCUUCAGUAACCCAGGAUGGGACGACCCCUUGCUCGCUUCUUUCGCUGUAUACCCCCUCCAUCCUUCGGAGGUGG